UAGGGAAUCUUCGGCAAUGGGGGCAACCCUGACCGAGCAGCGCCGCGUGAGUGAAGAAGGUUUUCGGAUCGUAAAGCUCUGUUGUAAGAGAAGAACGUGUGUGAGAGUGGAAAGUUCACACAGUGACGGUAACUUACCAGAAAGGGACGGCUAACUACGUGCCCG
rnacentral:rRNA from 1 species